UUACAAAGAAAUCCAAAUCAGUCCAAGAUCAUUUUGCCAAUUGUUUUGCUAUGCAGACAAAAUAGAAAUCUCGUGAAUCUCAGCAAUAUCUUUAAGGUGGAAAAUUCUCGGCUGGAUCAAGGUCAUAAUUCUAUGAACUCUGCUUUGGGGGCUGUUAAUUAAAAAGUCUUUGGCUAAAACCACAUUGAGAGGAAGAACUGGAAUCCAGGACUCAUCCUUCUAGCAGAGUGUGCUUAUUUGCAGAUGCCAGAGUCUGCGGUCUGUGUUCUUCACUAGGCCACCAAAUAUGUCCAGCCUUUAGCAGGAAGACGGAACAAAAUAUCCAAUACAGAGGUUAAUUUCAUCCACUUCUGACAAGACUUUCCUGUUCAGAAAAGAAGGAUUAAUAAACCACAGUCACUCACUGUCUAACCACUAGUCUGGUGAGGAGAAACUGACAAAAGCUGCUCUACCGCUCUAUUGUUCCAGAGUCUAGAUCCCUCAACAGUCCAACCAGCAUCCUUGCUUGACAGAGAUGGGUGAGCAGUCACUCCUUGGCUGCAUUUCUAGGCUGGAUUGAGGCAGCAGGGAGAUGACUGUGCAGUGGGGAUACAGCCGGUGCUGGUUCUCGGGUACUUCCUGCCCAGCAGUGGGAGGAAGAUGAAAGUUUCCAUACGAGGGAUUACUUCCAUGGCAACUUACAUAUAGACAAGUUCCUAUUAUGGAGAGAUACAAUACCGAUAAAGUAACCUUCAAGGAAACAAUAGUAAAUUCUUCACUGGUUUUAUUGUUGUUGCUGAAGAUGAAUGAAUAGGCCCAGCAUAGGCAUCUGAAUGCAUAUCAGAGGAAAAGAAAAGAAGAGAAAAGAAGAGAAAAGAAGAGAAAAGAAGAGAAGAGAAAGGAAGAGAAAGGAAGAGAAAGGAAGAGAAAGGAAGAGAAAAGAAAAGAAAAGAAAAGAAAAAAGAAAAGAAAAGAAAAGAAAAGAAAAGAAAAGAAAAGAAAAGAAAAGAAAAGAAAAGAAAAGAAAAGAAAAGAAAAGAAAAGAAAAGAAAAGAAAAGAAAAGAAAAGAAAAGAAAAGAAAAGAAAAGAAAAGAAAAGAAAAGAAAAGAAAAGAAAAGAAAAGAAAAGAAAAGAAAAGAAAAGAAAAGAAAAGAAAAGAAAAGAAAAGAAAAGACCAUUAUUACAGCUUGUUGUUCUCAUUUGCCUCCUUGUCAAUUACUCUGCGUAUUAUCCUUUCCCCAGCAUAUGUAAACCACCAGCAGGAACCUUUCCAUCCACAUCCAGAGGUGAAAGUAGGCAGCAAAUGCCUUGUAGUAAUUACACCUUUGGACCCUCUGUUCCCUCUGUCCUCCUGGGAAGACUGACCAGCAUAUAUUCAUUUCCUUUUCUGCUGAAAAACUGCUGAACACUAGUCACAACAAAAAAAAAAAAAAAGAAGAUAUGAUUUCUUUAGCAGUCAGAGACCAAGGAGAAAUGGAGCAGGAAACACGACUGCUAUUUUCACGUUUCUGCAUUUAAUCCAUAUAUCAGGAUUAAAAUUUUCUAUUUUCAAGAUUCCUGUUAGGUUUUUGUUCUUGUUUUUGGUUUUUUUUUCCUUAAUAAAGAUCACAGUAUUUUAUGUGAAGCAGACAUUAAUCAUAAGCAAAAUAUUUAUUCAUGAAGAAACACAUAUCUAAUUAAAGAUUUUUUGUCAGCUCCCAGAAUAUGCCAAAGUUCAUAUCUACUGCUUCAACAGACCUCAUCACAUGGCAGGGAACUUAAAAAA
ensembl:lncRNA